CCCGGUUUUUCAGUGAGGCUUUAGGAGCGACCCGUCGUUACCCCUUUCGUAAACCCAACGUUGAAAUAUAAGAAAAAUGCUAGGAGCUCACGGCGGCGACGGCGAUGGAAACGAUCCGCACCGAUCGUGGUGGAAGAAAAUAACAGGCUGCAAAAACAGCGGGUCGAAGAAAACACCACCACCACCAAGAGGGGCAGCCAAACAUCUAAACCUUGAGGCUGCCUUCAAGAAAAAUGGAGGCCCGUUACCCAUGUACUUCGAUUACAAAUCAAAGACCUUUCAGUCGAUCGGGG